rnacentral:rRNA from 1 species
UACGUAGGAGGCGAGCGUUGUCCGGAGUUACUGGGCGUAAAGGGCGCGCAGGCGGCCGCCCGCGUGUGUGGUGAAAGCUCCUGGCUUAACUAGGAGAGGUCCAUGCAGACGGGGUGGCUUGAGCGUCGGAGAGGGGCAUGGAAUUCCGGGUGGAGCGGUGAAAUGCGUAGAGAUCCGGAGGAACACCAAUGGCGAAGGCAGUGCCCUGGCCGACGGCUGACGCUCAGGCGCGAAAGCGUGGGGAGCAAACAGG